rnacentral:snRNA from 1 species
AUACUUACUGGCAGGGGAGAUCCCAUGAUCACGAGGGUGGUUUUCCCAGGGUGAGCCUGUGCACUCCAGAUAUGCUGACCCCUGCAAUUUCCCCAAAUGUGUGAAACUUGACAGCAUAAUUUGUGGUAGUGGGGGACCGCGUUCACGCUUUCCCCUG